GCUCUGUUAACUCAGUUGGUUAGAGUGUAGUGCUAAUACGAUCACUUCUGGAGUGGAGAUACGCUAAAGUCAAAGGUUCGAUCCCUUUACAGAGCA